AUUGAACGCUGGCGGCAGGCUUAACACAUGCAAGUCGAGCGGAGUGAUGGUGCUUGCACUAUCACUUAGCGGCGGACGGGUGAGUAAUGCUUAGGAAUCUGCCUAUUAGUGGGGGACAACAUCUCGAAAGGGAUGCUAAUACCGCAUACGUCCUACGGGAGAAAGCAGGGGAUCACUUGUGACCUUGCGCUAAUGGACGAGCCUAAGUCGGAUUAGCUAGCUGGUGGGGUAAAGGCCUACCAAGGCGACGAUCUGUAGCGGGUCUGAGAGGAUGAUCCGCCACACUGGGACUGAGACACGGCCCAGACUCCUACGGGAGGCAGCAGUGGGGAAUAUUGGACAAUGGGGGGAACCCUGAUCCAGCCAUGCCGCGUGUGUGAAGAAGGCCUUAUGGUUGUAAAGCACUUUAAGCGAGGAGGAGGCUCUUUUGGUUAAUACCCAAGAUGAGUGGACGUUACUCGCAGAAUAAGCACCGGCUAACUCUGUGCCAGCCGCCGCGGUAA
rnacentral:rRNA from 1 species